rnacentral:rRNA from 1 species
AUAGAUACCCCGGUAGUCCACGCCCUAAACGAUGCGAACUGGAUGUUGGGUACAUUACGGUACUCAGUGUCGAAGCUAACGCGUUAAGUUCGCCGCCUGGGGAGUACGGUCGCAAGACUGAAACUCAAAGGAAUUGACGGGGGCCCGCACAAGCGGUGGAGUAUGUGGUUUAAUUCGAUGCAACGCGAAGAACCUUACCUGGCCUUGACAUCUGUCGAAUCCUGCAGAGAUGCGGGAGUGCCGCAAGGAACGACAAGACAGGUGCUGCAUGGCUGUCGUCAGCUCGUGUCGUGAGAUGUUGGGUUAAGUCCCGCAACGAGCGCAACCCUUGUCCCUAGUUGCCAACGAGUAAAGUCGGGAACUCUAGGGAGACUGCCGGUGACAAACCGGAGGAAGGUGGGGAUGACGUCAAGUCCUCAUGGCCCUUACGGCCAGGGCUACACACGUACUACAAUGGUCGGUACAGAGGGUUGCGAAGCCGCGAGGUGGAGCCAAUCCCAGAAAGCCGAUCCCAGUCCGGAUUGGAGU